AUUGAACGCUGGCGGCAUGCUUUACACAUGCAAGUCGAACGGCAGCGCGGGCUUCGGCCUGGCGGCGAGUGGCGAACGGGUGAGUAAUGCAUCGGAACGUGCCCAGUAGUGGGGGAUAGCCCGGCGAAAGCCGGAUUAAUACCGCAUACGACCUGAGGGUGAAAGCGGGGGACCGAAAGGCCUCGCGCUAUUGGAGCGGCCGAUGUCGGAUUAGCUAGUUGGUGGGGUAAAGGCUUACCAAGGCGACGAUCCGUAGCUGGUCUGAGAGGACGACCAGCCACACUGGGACUGAGACACGGCCCAGACUCCUACGGGAGGCAGCAGUGGGGAAUUUUGGACAAUGGGGGCAACCCUAAUCCAGCCAUGCCGCGUGCGGGAAGAAGGCCUUCGGGUUGUAAACCGCUUUUGUUCGGGAAGAAAUCCUCUGGGCUAAUACCCCGGGGGGAUGACGGUACCGGAAGAAUAAGCACCGGCUAACUACGUG
rnacentral:rRNA from 1 species